CGAGCGGACAGAAGGGAGCUUGCUCCCGGAUGUUAGCGGCGGACGGGUGAGUAACACGUGGGUAACCUGCCUGUAAGACUGGGAUAACUCCGGGAAACCGGAGCUAAUACCGGAUAGUUCCUUGAACCGCAUGGUUCAAGGAUGAAAGACGGUUUCGGCUGUCACUUACAGAUGGACCCGCGGCGCAUUAGCUAGUUGGUGGGGUAAUGGCUCACCAAGGCGACGAUGCGUAGCCGACCUGAGAGGGUGAUCGGCCACACUGGGACUGAGACACGGCCCAGACUCCUACGGGAGGCAGCAGUAGGGAAUCUUCCGCAAUGGACGAAAGUCUGACGGAGCAACGCCGCGUGAGUGAUGAAGGUUUUCGGAUCGUAAAGCUCUGUUGUUAGGGAAGAACAAGUGCGAGAGUAACUGCUCGCACCUUGACGGUACCUAACCAGAAAGCCACGGCUAACUACGUGCCAGCAGCCGCGGUAAUACGUAGGUGGCAAGCGUUGUCCGGAAUUAUUGGGCGUAAAGGGCUCGCAGGCGGUUUCUUAAGUCUGAUGUGAAAGCCCCCGGCUCAACCGGGGAGGGUCAUUGGAAACUGGGAAACUUGAGUGCAGAAGAGGAGAGUGGAAUUCCACGUGUAGCGGUGAAAUGCGUAGAGAUGUGGAGGAACACCAGUGGCGAAGGCGACUCUCUGGUCUGUAACUGACGCUGAGGAGCGAAAGCGUGGGGAGCGAACAGGAUUAGAUACCCUGGUAGUCCACGCCGUAAACGAUGAGUGCUAAGUGUUAGGGGGUUUCCGCCCCUUAGUGCUGCAGCUAACGCAUUAAGCACUCCGCCUGGGGAGUACGGUCGCAAGACUGAAACUCAAAAGGAAUUGACGGGGGCCC
rnacentral:rRNA from 1 species